AAAGUUGGUGUUUUAUUGAUAGAAGAGCUAAAAUGCCAUAUUGAGUCUUGCACUUUAUCUGGUAAAAGACUCCUUUUGGCAUGAAAGCUAAAUACAGAACUUGGAACUGUGACUAUAACCCAAUCAAAACGACUCAACUCCAGAUGCAAUCAUCCUCAGAACAAAAAGAAGCAGCCCCUAACCAAAAAGAGUUAAGCUGCACCCAAGGAAACAUUUGAACCAACCUGCCCAAAAGACCAGUAAAAACCGAAAGAAAAAAGAACAUCCAUAUCCAAAUCAGGAUCCCAGAAAAUCCCUGUCAUCCUCAGCAGUUGGCACACAGAACGAACCCAAAAAACUUAGAAGAGACACGAGCUUCGGCCUGCUUUAUCAGAUGACCCUCCACAUUUUCAUGAAGCUCUCGUACAGGAGGAAAAACCCCUGCUGCCCUUGCAUUCUCAUCAAACAGACUGGAUUC
rnacentral:lncRNA from 1 species